rnacentral:ncRNA from 15 species
GACUUUCAGAGGAUGGAACUGGCAGCCUUCGCCGGAUAACCCGAAUGGGUUUGAGUAGGAGAUGCGGGAUAGUCACCCCGCCUAAAGUC